UCCGCCUCCCUUCAACAUUAAUUUUCAAUCAGUCCGCCUCCCUUCCCUUCCACUUCCCCUUCCACCUUUAAUUCCCAAUCAGUCCUGCCUCCCCAACGCUUUAUCUUCUGAGAUCUCUUAUCUUCUUGGUGCGCCUAACAGAUCUGUCACCGGUGUGACCUCCUAAGCUCACCAGUCCACAGUGGUUGUGACAGAGGAGCAUGGCCGUCCAUGGCAGAGUGUGCCCGAGAAGGGAGUGUUUUUUGAGGGGGUCGAGCCAGAGAGAGGUGGCAAAUAGAUUCGGUGAGGCUUAACUUUCAAUCUCCACCGGGUCAGAACAUCUGCAAAAUUUCCGUUCGAUUUUAUCAUAUUCUGCUGGCCAACAACAUUGUCAAGCUUUUGGUCUAAUAGAGGCGGCGGGGAGACGUGCUGAGGCGGCGAGGUAGCAAGCCUCCAAAUUGCCAGCGGAGCGACGCGCUACUUCAUCCUGGCAGCGCAUAGAGACGACAGGCCGCCUGGAUGGAACGAAGGGAGGAGGUAGCUGGUAGCGAGUUCUAUCAGAGAAGCACUCAUGCGAUUAUUCUCAUUCUUCAGGCAAUAUGAGUCUUCUUCUUCAAUAUUCAGGCAAUAUGGGCCGUCUUCUUCUCCAAACCAUCUUCCCCGAAUCGAGCUGAUUCCUGAUAAACUAUCUUGCAAGAUGGUGGAACGAAUUUGAAGUCUUUAUUUAUUGUCGACACCCAUCAGCCAUCGUCUGCAGGUGUCGUCCGUGUUUGCCGGGACAGGUCUGCAGCCCUAGAUGUCUCCUCCCCUCUCCAAGUCUCCAUACCAGGUUCUCCCUGCAGCCUCUUCGUCGCAGAGUCUGUUUUGAUUCUGCCCCACCAUCCUGUUUUUGCAGUCUGGUUCUUAAAUUCAGAGAUUUAAAAUUUUAAAAAUUGUUGUACGUAGAACUACAUCAGUUGUCUGUCUUGGAAAUUUCAUGUAUUGGCUGAUGCAAAGCUUGAAUUAUAUAUAUUGUGUUCUAGAUACUAAAGCUUGAUACGAUUUGACUAUUGUAUUGAGGUUUUGCACUUAAACUGUACAUUAUUUUAGAGAAAGAUGAAUGGUUGUAUCUCCAGCAUGCUGGAUGAUAGCUUACUGAGUUGGAUAUUUAACCUCUGUGGUCAUGUUAACUGAAUAUUGAACUAUUUGUUUGAAUUAUUAUUUCACAUAA